rnacentral:rRNA from 1 species
CCAGACUCCUACGGGAGGCAGCAGUGGGGAAUAUUGGGCAAUGGGCGCAAGCCUUACCCAGCAAUACCGCGUGAGUGAAGAAGGUCUUCGGAUUGUAAAGCUCUUUGAUCAGGGACGAACAGAUGACGGUACCUGAAGAACAAGCCCCGGCUAACUACGUGCCAGCAGCCGCGGUAAAACGUAGGGGGCGAGCGUUGUCCGGAUUUACUGGGUGUAAAGGGCGUGUAGCCGGGCUGACAAGUCAGAUGUGAAAUUCCGGGGCUCAACCCCGGACCUGCAUUUGAAACUGUUGGUCUUGAGUAUCGGAGAGGCAGGCGGAAUUCCUAGUGUAGCGGUGAAAUGCGUAGAUAUCACGCAGAACCCCGAUUGCGAAGGCAGCAUACCGGUGCACAACUGACGCUCAGGCACGAAAGCGUGGGUAUCGAACAGGAUUAGAUACCCCGGUA